GAACGGCAGCACGGGUGCUUGCACCUGGUGGCGAGUGGCGAACGGGUGAGUAAUACAUCGGAACAUGUCCUGUAGUGGGGGAUAGCCCGGCGAAAGCCGGAUUAAUACCGCAUACGAUCUACGGAUGAAAGCGGGGGACCUUCGGGCCUCGCGCUAUAGGGUUGGCCGAUGGCUGAUUAGCUAGUUGGUGGGGUAAAGGCCUACCAAGGCGACGAUCAGUAGCUGGUCUGAGAGGACGACCAGCCACACUGGGACUGAGACACGGCCCAGACUCCUACGGGAGGCAGCAGUGGGGAAUUUUGGACAAUGGGCGAAAGCCUGAUCCAGCAAUGCCGCGUGUGUGAAGAAGGCCUUCGGGUUGUAAAGCACUUUUGUCCGGAAAGAAAUCCUUGGUUCUAAUAUAGCCGGGGGAUGACGGUACCGGAAGAAUAAGCACCGGCUAACUACGUGCCAGCAGCCGCGGUAAUACGUAGGGUGCGAGCGUUAAUCGGAAUUACUGGGCGUAAAGCGUGCGCAGGCGGUUUGCUAAGACCGAUGUGAAAUCCCCGGGCUCAACCUGGGAACUGCAUUGGUGACUGGCAGGCUAGAGUAUGGCAGAGGGGGGUAGAAUUCCACGUGUAGCAGUGAAAUGCGUAGAGAUGUGGAGGAAUACCGAUGGCGAAGGCAGCCCCCUGGGCCAAUACUGACGCUCAUGCA
rnacentral:rRNA from 1 species